CUGCUGCCUUCCGUAGGAGUCUGGUCCGUGUCUCAGUACCAGUGGUGGGGGACCUUCCUCUCAGAACCCCUACGCAUCGUCGCCUUGGUGGGCCGUUACCCCGCCAACUAGCUAAUGCGCCGCAUGCCCAUCCGUCUCCGAUAUUCUUUCAAAACCAGACGAUGCCGUCCAGCUUCAUACGGGGUAUUAGACGCCGUUUCCGACGAUUAUCCCCCUGAGACGGGCAGGUUGCAUACGUGUUACUCACCCGUGCGCCGGUUGCCGG
rnacentral:rRNA from 1 species